ensembl:snRNA U6 U6 spliceosomal RNA
GUGCACUCACAUUGGCAGCAUGUAUAUUAAGAUUGGAACAAUAUAGGGAAAAUUAGCGUGACCCUUGUGCAAAGAUGACACAAAUUUGUGAGAUGUUCCAUACUUUU